rnacentral:rRNA from 1 species
CACCAGGUCAAGGAGCCGGCAUCAGACACAACCUCAGUCCACAACGCCUAGUCUCACCACACCCCCAAGGGUCAUCAGCAGUGAUAAAUAUUGAAUAUAAGCGACAGCUUGAUUCAGUCAGAGAAAAGAGGGCCGGCCAACCCGGUGCCAGCCGCCGCGGCUACCCCGUGGGGCCCAAGUUGAAGGUCAUCGGCGUUAAGCGUGAUUAAAGUUUAUAUAGAUUAAGAUCAAAUUAAUGCUCAGUAGUUUAAAGCUCGCUAUUAAGAAGACCACAAACGAAAGUUAUCUUAACUUACAUACUUGAAUACACGACAGCCGGGAAACAAACUAGGAUUAGAUACCCUACUAUGCCCAGCCGUAAACAAUUAACUUACACCCAUAAGCGCCAGGGAACUACGAGCCACGCUUAAAACCCAAAGGAUUUGACGGUGUCCCACCCCCCUAGAGGAGCCUGUUCUAUAAUCGAUGAUCCCCGCUAUACCCCACCACCCCUUGCUCGUCAGUCUGUAUACCUCCGUCGAAAGCUUACCAUGUGAAUGUCUACAGUAAGUUCAAUGACCAUAUAAAUUGCGCCAACACGUCAGGUCAAGGUGCAGCUUAAGGAGUGGAAAGUGAUUGGCUACAAUUUCUAACCUAGAACAAACGAAAGGCCGUAUGAAAUCAUGGCCACGAAGGCGGAUUUAGUAGUAAAAAGAAAAUAGAGAUUGCACCAAACAAACUCAUAAACUUAAG